ensembl:lncRNA
CCCGAGGGGAGCAGCGCUCACAGUGCGGGGUUUGGGCACGGCGGGCAGGAACAGGAGAGGGCUGCCUUUAGACGGGACGGGCUGUGGAGGAGGCGGCUUUCCUGCAGGGCGGUGCUCGGAGGGUUCGGUGCUUUCCAGAUGUGAUUCCUGCUCGGUUUCGGACACCCCCGGCCCUCCCAGUUUAGGCUUUCCUUCCCGUUUCUCUUUUAUCUGCACACGAGGGAUAACCGGGAUCCGCCGCAGCCCCGUGCUCAGCGCUGGCGGCCGGGCAUGCCGCGACUGGAAGAACACACAGCUGGGGCUGUCCCGGCCAGAGCGAGCGGGGCAAACCUCACGCCUGUCUGAUCCUCCUUAACUGGAAGUGGCCAUUUUUAGCGUCCCCAGAAGUAGCACCAAGUCAGAGGAAGCUGUGACUCAGAGGCCGAUGAAUCACUCCUGCUCCAGAUUACACGGCUUUUUUUCCUCCUCCUGGGCCUCCAGCAUGGACUGAGGAGCCCACAGAGACAUUAGUGAGAAUCCUUUUAAAGCUGGAACGAGACCUGAACAUUUGGGAAACACUGCAGCGACUGGUGGAGAAAACACUGCUGUAACGCAUCGGUGCUCCAUGAUCAGGGCUCUGCGUCCCACGGGACCCAUGGGAUCUGCCAGCACAUGGCCUAUUUUUAACCCAAAACACGCAGUCCCCCGGGACGUUGUGUUUUGAACCCACAUCCAUGCACCCUACCCCCCUGGCAGCCUCACGGCAGCAAAAUUCCCCAGUUUCCCCCUCCAGCACGGAGCAGAGCUGCUGCUCACGGGCACACCUUCCCCUCUGCUCUGUUUGCACACAGUGGCCCGGCUCAAAGUAAGCAGUGGAAAACUCUGCUCGCAGGGAAACAUUCCUCUCAUUUUUCCCUGAUGCUUCUGCCUUUUCCCUCCUUCUCCCCCUCCCAGUGAAAAAGGAAGGAGAAAAAAAAAAAAAAAAGAAAAAAAAAAAAAGGAAAAGGAGGCUGCAGUUUAAAUGCUAAAAAUAAAGCUGCCCGGUUGCUUGCUGGAUAAAAAUAGCGGCCCCUGGUAUUUAUUUGAGCAGCAGCAGUCGCCUUUCCGGCUUUGGAGCAGAGCUCAGGAGGAGGAUGGGGCUGGCGAUGCUUGGGCCCAGGUGAUGGGCACAGAGCUGCCAUGAGGAGCUCCUUCCUGAGGAAAUCCCAUGGCAGCAGGAGGUGGGAAGAGCGGAACUGCCUGCAGGAGUUGUGUGGGGAGCAGCCUGGGGACGGGGUGGUGCCCCAGCAUGUAGAUGGGUCAGUGGAGUACCCCUUCCCCAGCACCAAAGUGGGGUGCCCAGCAUCCUUCAGAGCUGGACUUUUUGGGGAUGUCAACCGUGUGCAUGUAGCUGAGCAAUGCUGGGACGUGGCGCUUCCUACCCAAGGGCUUUAUGUGACCUGGCUUGCUGUCUGUUGGGAUUGCUCGCUGCAAAGCAGAGGCUCAGGGGUUAAUGGCUUGGAGCGGAGGUUCGGUUGGGCUGCUUGGAUUCUGUUCUUGUUGUUGUUGUUGUUUUAAUCUCAUGCUGCUCUGAACACCUGGUUUCUGCCUGAUGCUGAGAGCUGCCAAGAUGGCUCGUAAUGGUGG